CCGUUUAAUAAACUUGCAGGUCGUGUUUUAUUAGGUAUAAAGCCACUCUCGCUGCGCGCUCGUGGCUUUAAACCUAAUAAAAGACGACCUGCAAGUUUAUUAAACAG